rnacentral:rRNA from 1 species
GGACUACUGGGGUUUCUAAUCCUGUUUGCUCCCCACGCUUUCGUGUCUCAGCGUCAGUAUCUGUCCAGUUGGCCGCCUUCGCCACCGGUGUUCCUCUCGAUAUCUACGAAUUUCACCUCUACACCGAGAAUUCCACCAACCUCUCCAGUACUCGAGCCAAGCAGUAUCGAGUGCACUUUCUGGGUUGAGCCCAGAGCUUUCACACCCGACUUACCUGGCCGCCUACACACGCUUUACGCCCAGUAAUUCCGAACAACGUUUGCACCCUCUGUCUUACCGCGGCGGCUGGCAC